UAUCACCUGAAAAUGCAUCAGUUUCUGCAAAUCUGCAAAUGCGCGCCAUAGCCAUCGGAUCAGCAACAAGUGGUCAGAUCUCGUCGUACGCCUCAGCCACCGUGCACUUUGUACAGAACCCCUACAGAUCUAUUCCUCUGUCACCUUAGUCCCUGUCCCUCUGUGUCCUGUACAGCAAACGAAUUCCCCAUCUCUCUCAUCUCUCCCCGGUCCCGAUCUGAGCACGACCACCAUGGCGACGCUGCCCAAACCGGCCAAGCCCAGCUCGCCAGCGCGAGGCAGUUCGCGGUCCUUGCUGGGCAGUUUUGCGGCCUCAUUUCUCCGCUGCCGCACGCUGCUUGGUCCUCGCCCUGCUGCAAGAUGUACGCGUGCACACCUGAACCUAGGGUUCUCUAUUCAGUUCGUCCACCACGGGGUUUCAUGAUACUCUAUUGCAAAGGGAACUGAUGGAUUUGUGGCGGCAGAUUGUAUUUGUUUCAGUUCUCGAAUGACCUGCCUCCUCAAGCACGACAUAAGCUCCUCAAAUUGGAUAAGGGAAUCCAAUGGUUUAACAUGUUGAGUUCCAUGCUCCAUUUAUCCAUUAUGUAGCUCCUGUCGUGCUGUGCAAUCAGUAUUUGUAGUUUGACCAUCCCAAAGUCUGUCCAAUGUAUUCCACGAGUAUAUCAAGUCGCUUUCAUUAUCAUCUCAUGGAACUUUUGCUUAUGUGCAGAAAUUUGAAGCACUAAUCUCUAGGUCCAUUCGGCAGCUGAUGCCGUCACGGGAUAUUAGUUGUCUUGCAAUAUUCGAAAUAUUUGUAUAUUACAAGAACUUUUGUAUUAGUUGAGAUUUGUAGAACUAAUCUGGAAGUUUUGUACUGGCCACCUGAUGCCUAAUGCCAUGCUGCAUUCCAUGCUCAAUUUGAUCCAUGCGAUGGUUUCAAAAUCAUUUGCUGGAGACAUGAUGCUUAAUUGAUACUUAUUUACCUAUGUGUUGAAGAUUAA